rnacentral:rRNA from 1 species
CGCCUUCGGGUGAGCGGCGGACGGGUUAGUAACGCGUGGGAACGUGCCCUUCUCUACGGAAUAGCCUCUGGAAACGGAGAGUAAUACCGUAUACGCCCUUUGGGGGAAAGAUUUAUCGGAGAAGGAUCGGCCCGCGUUAGAUUAGGUAGUUGGUGGGGUAACGGCCUACCAAGCCUACGAUCUAUAGCUGGUUUUAGAGGAUGAUCAGCAACACUGGGACUGAGACACGGCCCAGACUCCUACGGGAGGCAGCAGUGGGGAAUCUUAGACAAUGGGGGCAACCCUGAUCUAGCCAUGCCGCGUGAGUGAUGAAGGCCUUAGGGUCGUAAAGCUCUUUCGCCUGUGAUGAUAAUGACAGUAGCAGGUAAAGAAACCCCGGCUAACUCCGUGCCAGCAGCCGCGGUAAUACGGAGGGGGUUAGCGUUGUUCGGAAUUACUGGGCGUAAAGCGCGCGUAGGCGGAUUAGAAAGUUGGGGGUGAAAUCCCGGGGCUCAACCCCGGAACUGCCUCCAAAACUGCUAGUCUAGAGUUCGAGAGAGGUGAGUGGAAUUCCGAGUGUAGAGGUGAAAUUCGUAGAUAUUCGGAGGAACACCAGUGGCGAA